GACAGAGGGUGCAAACGUUGUUCGGAUUUACUGGGCGUAAAGCGCGUGUAGGCGGCUUUGCAAGUCGGAUGUGAAAGCCCACGGCUCAACCGUGGAAGUGCAUCCGAAACUGCAUGGCUGGAGUCUCGGAGAGGAAGGUGGAAUGCUUGGUGUAGAGGUGAAAUUCGUAGAUAUCAAGCAGAACACCUGCGGCGAAGGCGGCCUUCUGGACGAUGACUGACGCUGAGACGCGAAAGCUGGGGGAGCAAACGGG
rnacentral:rRNA from 1 species